UCGAGUUUUGAACGGGUUGUCUGCUGGCUCGCAAGGGCAUGUGCACGCCUGUCUCAUCCACUCUCAACUUCUGUGCACUUUUCAUAGGCCGGCUUGUGGGUGCGUUCGCGCACUUGUAGGUGUCGGGCUUAUGCUUUAUUACAAACGAUUCAGUUUUAGAAUGUCAUACUUUGCUAUAACGCAAUUUAUAUA
rnacentral:misc_RNA from 1 species